UCUUCUGGUGUGUCUGAAGACAGCAACAGUGUACUCAGAUAAACAUAAAAUAAAUAUUUCCUUUAAAAAAGUAUUUUAAAUGAUAUUGAAAAUGUAAUUUGGACCUAAGUGUUGUGGCUCAUACUUGAAAUCUCAGCCUUCGGGAGGCAGGAGGAUUUCUGAGAGUUCAGGACCAGUCUAUAUGAGUGUGAGACUUUACAGAUGGAUAGGUAGACAGACAGACAGAGAGUGAGCUAGCUGGCUAACUAGCUGGGGUGUCUUUUAGUAGUAGAGCAUUUGUCUAACAUGUACCAGGCCCUGAGUUGAUCUCUAACACCACUAAGAUAAAAGCCAAACAAAAUGUAAUUUAGUAUAGGUUGGUUUGGUUUGGUUUGGUAACCGUCUCACAGAGUAUAGGCUAGCCUUGAACUUACUGUACAGUGGAGGAUGAAUGACUUCUGGUCAUCUUGCCUCCACCUUUAAUGCACUGUGUUUACAGUGGACAUCCCUGUACCCAAUCUAUGAAAUGCUGGAGAUGGAGCCCGGAGCUGUGUUCUUGCUAUGCAAGUGCUGUAUGACCUGAGCUCCUCCCCAGCCCUGGUUUGGUUUGCUCUUUUGGGAUUGGGUUUCACUCAGUGCUAUCCUAGAACUCACUUUGUAGACCAAGUUGUCCUUAAACUCACAGAGAUCCACCUGUUUCUGCUUCCCAAAUGCUGGUAUAAAAGGUGUGGGCCAUUAUGACCCAGCUUAACGAAGUCCAAGAGAACUAAGUAAAAAGGAUAACAAGUGGAGUAUGUAGAACCUUGUUCCAGCCUGUGACCAAGAGUUUUGAAUCAUACUCUCAGCUACACCCAUGCCCUAUAGCUGCCUCCUCCACUAUAAUCUACAACAGUGGUAUCAUUACUCCUUGCAGUAAAGGGAUCCCAGGGCUAAAUAAGUUUGGAAUUUAAAGUAAUAUCUCUUAGCAGCCUUAGUAGCACAAACCUACCAUCCUGGUACUGGGAGGUGGGGGCCAUACUUGGCUACAUAGCAAGCUUGAGGACAGCCUGAGCUAUAUGAGACUGCCUCAAAACAGCUCAGUAGAAAAAUAAAAUACAGGUCUUUAUUAUAGUUUGAAUAUGUAUUUCAAAGUUUAUCAUGAAAUUAAUGACUGCACUAUUUCUCAAAUUUCAUGUAAAACCUAAGUUAGUAGUCAGUAAACAUCUUGGGAAGUGAUGCUUGUGGGCUGUAGUUUUCCUGUAUAGCAAAAGAGCCUUGGAUCCCUGCAGGUGAUAGGGAAGCUGGUGGCUCAUGAGGCGGAAGGAUCGCUGUGUAUUUCAGGCCAGGCUGGUCCACAUCAUGAGUUCAAGAUGGCUAAGGUUACAGAGAGACCCCGUCUCAAAUUGGAGGGGGGAGCAGUAGAGUUGUCUUGUUCACCUCUGUACCCUGCAUAGCUGAGCAUGUAGAAGUACUUCUCAUGUUUCUUUAUUAAAAAGUAGAUGAUGACUAAAAGAAUAUGGGAUUCAAAGGAGUUUGUGACGCUAUGGUUGUUUUUUUGUUUUGUUCUGUUUUGUUUUACAAUGUAUCUAUUUGGGGGCAUGGUUGUACUCACCUUUAACCCCACCCAGCACUGGGGAGGCAGAGGACAACCAAGGGCUGCAUAGAAAAACCCUAUAUUC
rnacentral:lncRNA from 1 species